rnacentral:rRNA from 1 species
AGUCUGCAACCCGACUCCACGAAGCUGGAUUCGCUAGUAAUCGCGCAUCAGCCACGGCGCGGUGAAUACGUUCCCGGGCCUUGUACACACCGCCCGUCAAGCCAUGGGAGCCGGGGGUACCUGAAGUGCGUAACCGCGAGGAGCGCCCUAGGGUAAAACUGGUGACUGGGGCUAAGUCGUAACAAGGUAGC